UUGUCCCUAUUUUGCAUUCCCUGCGCCAUAGAAGUUAGUAAAUUAAAAAUUUGAUCAUUAUCAAUAGACGAACUUGAUUUUUGGGCAGGUUGUGCUUGGGGUUGAGUUGGUGCAAACGGUUUUUGAUAGAAACUCGGGGGUUGUUGCCUAAAUCCGCUUUGUUGUUGGCCUUGUUGGGGUUCUCGCCAUUUGAAAUUUGGAUGAUCACGCCAACCGGGAUUGUAAGUAUUGGAAAAGGGGUCAUUCCUUGGUUGGUAUUGGUUGUCAAAUCCCACGGCAUUGAGGGUCUCCCACCCUCCAUUUUCUAUCAACUGUGGGCACUUGU
rnacentral:lncRNA from 1 species